ensembl:lncRNA
CUUAUAGUAAUCCAUGCUGCUCCCAACCCCCACCGGGAGUGUAUAUUUUCUGCCUUGGGUACUUCGGAAGCAUAUCGGAGUGAUCUGUCUUAGAUCAGACAAGCCUGGCUUCUCCCUCCCUCUGUUCCUCUUCAGAAAAGAAGAAUAGUCCUCCCAGGGAUAUCGACAUGACAAGCUACAAUAAGACUAGGAGCCUGGCAUAGCUGUCUUCCAGGAGGCCCAGAAAGCAGCUGACUGAGACAGAAGCAGAUACUUAUACCCAAACCACUGGACUCAAGUCAGGGACAUCUGUGGUUGAAUUAGGGAAAGGCUGUAAGAAGCUGAGGAGGAGGAUGACCCCAUAGGAAGAACAGCAGUCUCAACUCACCCGGACUCCUGGGAGCUCCCUGACACAGAGCCACCAACCAGGCAGCAUACAUGGGCUGGUCUGAGGCCCCUGCCACAUAGAUAGCAAAGGACUGCCUGAUCUGGCCUCAGUGGGAGAACAUACACCUAACCCUUGAGAGAUUUGAGGCCCCAGGGAGUGGGGAAGUCUGGUGAGGGAGGGC